UACGUAGGUGGCAAGCGUUGUCCGGAAUUAUUGGGCGUAAAGGGCUCGCAGGCGGUUUCUUAAGUCUGAUGUGAAAGCCCCCGGCUCAACCGGGGAGGGUCAUUGGAAACUGGGAAACUUGAGUGCAGAAGAGGAGAGUGGAAUUCCACGUGUAGCGGUGAAAUGCGUAGAGAUGUGGAGGAACACCAAUGGCGAAGGCAGCCCCCUGGGUCGAUACUGACGCUCAUGCACGAAAGCGUGGGUAGCAAACAGG
rnacentral:rRNA from 1 species